UCAGUAAGAGGGCAAAUAUACUCUCUUUUCAACAUUAUGCUUUUUAACAUAACUUGCUGGUGUAGCAAAGCAAGAAAGAAAAUAAAGGAUUGGAUAAGUGCCCAUCAACUAACGAGUGGGUAAAGAAAAUGUGGUAUAUAUACACCAUGGAAUACUAUUCAGCAAUAAAAAGAAAUGAAAUGUCUUUUGCAGCAACUUGGGUAGAGUUGGAGGCUAUUAUUCUAAGUGAAGUAACUCAGUAACAAAGAUCACAUGUUCUCACUUAUAAAUGGGAGCUAAGUUAAGAGAACACAAAGACGUAAGAAUGAUGCAAUGGACUUUGAGGCCUUGGAGGGGAAGGUUGGGAGAGGGGUGAAGGAUUUAAAAAACUACAUAUUGGGUAACUGGAGAAGUAUCCUAUGAACAUAUAUAUUGGAAACUGAAAAUGUAAUUAUUCAAAUUAUAAUUCUUUCAAAAUUUAUAUAUAGAUUCAACGGAAUCUCAAUGAAAAUCUCAACAGAUUGGUUAAUGGAACUAGAUAAGCUGAUUCUAAAAUUUUAUUUUUAAAUAUAAAAGGCUAAAAAUAGCCAAGAUUUUCUUAAAGAUGCAUAAAAAAGUCAGGGGAUUUAUUCUAUAUGAUAUCCAAUGAGUAUGGCAUUGGCAUAAGGCUAGACAAACAGACAGGGCAGGACAGAGGGAGUGAAUGAACAGACACACAUAUAUUUGGACACUUGAAUUUGGAUAAAAGAGGCAAUGUAGGAAGGAAGGGAAAAGAUAGUCUUUUCAAUAGAAGGAACUGGAUCAAAGAGAUAUUCAAUGGAAAAAAAGAACGAAAUUUUACCUCUUCCUCACAACAUAAGUAAGUUAAUUAUUACAGACGAAUUAUAGACCUAAAUGUGAAAGGCAAGACAACAUCGUUUCCAGAUGAUAAUAUAGGAGAUUGUCCUCAUGACUUUGCAUUACUGGAAAUGUUAUAAACCUACACCCAGAUGCCUGUGCUGAUACUGACAUGACUUUAAUAGUGUGGGAAUUUGCCCAGUCUGCACUCAAUGCCUGUCUCAUCCAACCAUCUUUAAUAAGUCAUCACCAUGUGGCUACCCUUUAAGGAGCAACUAGAACCACUAAGACCAAAAGAGAAUCCUGACGUCUGGUGAGGUGAAGGAGGAGGGCCCUAGUACCUUUAUUUGUGGGUAGAACUGGGCUUCUGUGGCCUGAAAAUCUAAGGACCAAACACCAACUUUACAAUAAAGAACCUGAACUCUGAUAGAAGGGAGACAAUGGUUACUUCUUUUCAUGGAUUCUAAAUUCUAUCUGCCAGUCACUUUUUGUGUGUGCAUUCAUUGAGGGUGUACAGAAUGGAAUUACAGAGGCAGAAAAAAAUGAGGUCUCUGCCAAAUUGAUAGUUUAAAAAACAUUUUAGUGGCCUACUUAACUGUAAUUUGUUUUAGUUUUAAACAAGAAAAACCUCAGCAUGUAAGCAAAGCAGACUGGACUUGAACAGAUAUGGAAUGCAAAGCACACAGGAGAGUCAUGGGGAUCCUGAACGGGGAUUAGAAGUUGGACAACUUUUUAUGCAAUGAACAACACUGCAUUGGAGACAGUGGAUUAAAUUAAACAGUAGUGCAUAUCACUUGGCUGAAGUGACAGGAAUAAAGAACAGAAUGCAUCCACUCCUCCAGUCUCAUUAAGCUGCCUCUUUCUCCUGAAAUUGGAUUGGGAUUCCAGGACACCUCUCAACCUACAGGAAACACUGGAUCUAAAGCUGAAACAGGCUUUUAAAAAGAUUUGCACAAUACAUCCUUCAUAUUGUUAUUUUUAUCUCUGUAAGUUUGUAAUGGCCUCUAAAAAAGAAAGCUGUGUAACAAGAGCAUCAGAUGUUACUUUGCUCACUGUUGAAGGCGGUGAAGAACAGAAGAAAACUAGGAAGAAAACCAAGCUGGGAAGGGCAAUGAAGGAACAGGUUAGAGUUCAAAAGUAAAAGUACGUUCCACACAAAGGAAAGAUUUCAGAGAGAAGGCCUUGCUCUGUUGCCCAGGCUGGAAUGCAGUGGUGUGAUCAUGGCUCAUGCAGCCUCGAAAUUCUGGGCUCAAAUGAUCUUCUUGCCUCAGCCUCUUGAGUAGCUGGAAUUACAGGUUGCUGGGGCAGCUCUGAUCCACAUAUGACUUAGGGACCCAGGAUGCAGCUGCUUCAACAUCCUGUAGCUGUACUAUCUGGAAUACAUGGGCUGCCAGUUGUCAUGACUACUCUCCUAUGCUUCAGCCCAAAAGUUAAGCACUUUAUUUCUUCAUAUAGCCCAUUGGUCAGAAUUAUUCAUAUGUCUCACUACAGGGUGGGCCGGGAGUGUACCUUCAUUAUGUAGGAAAAAAUAAAACAUAAUUGUGAGAAUUA